rnacentral:rRNA from 1 species
GACGAACGCUGGCGGCGUGCUUAACACAUGCAAGUCGAACGGAAAGGCCCUGCUUUUGUGGGGUGCUCGAGUGGCGAACGGGUGAGUAACACGUGAGUAACCUGCCCUUGACUUUGGGAUAACUUCAGGAAACUGGGGCUAAUACCGGAUAGGAGCUCCUGCUGCAUGGUGGGGGUUGGAAAGUUUCGGCGGUUGGGGAUGGACUCGCGGCUUAUCAGCUUGUUGGUGGGGUAGUGGCUUACCAAGGCUUUGACGGGUAGCCGGCCUGGGAGGGUGACCGGCCACAUUGGGACUGAGAUACGGACCAGAAUCCUACGGGAGGCAGCAGUGGGGAAUAUUGCACAAUGGGCGGAAGCCUGAUGCAGCAACGCCGCGUGCGGGAUGACGGCCUUCGGGUUGUAAACCGCUUUCGCCUGUGACGAAGCGUGAGUGACGGUAAUGGGUAAAGAAGCACCGGCUAACUACGUG